GCGGACUUAACUCAAUGGCAGAGCACCUUUCAUUUACUUAGGGGUUGCAGGUUUGAGUCUUGUAGUCCACA